AACGAACGCUGGCGGCAGGCUUAACACAUGCAAGUCGAACGGUUGUAGCAAUACAGCAGUGGCAGACGGGUGAGUAACGCGUGGGAACGUACCUUUCAGUUCGGAAUAACUCAGGGAAACUUGUGCUAAUACCGGAUACGCCCGUAAGGGGAAAGAUUUAUCGCUGAAAGAUCGGCCCGCGUUGGAUUAGCUAGUUGGUGGGGUAAUGGCCUACCAAGGCGACGAUCCAUAGCUGGUCUGAGGGGAUGAUCAGCCACACUGGGACUGAGACACGGCCCAGACUCCUACGGGAGACAGCAGUGGGGAAUAUUGGACAAUGGGCGAAAGCCUGAUCCAGCCAUGCCGCGUGAGUGAUGAAGGCCCUAGGGUUGUAAAGCUCUUUCACCGAUGAAGAUAAUGACGGUAGUCGGAGAAGAAGCCCCGGCUAACUUCGUGCCAGCCGCCGCAGUAA
rnacentral:rRNA from 1 species